rnacentral:rRNA from 1 species
GAUGAACGCUAGCUACAGGCUUAACACAUGCAAGUCGAGGGGAAACGGCAUUAAGUGCUUGCACUUUUUGGACGUCGACCGGCGCACGGGUGAGUAACGCGUAUCCAACCUUCCCAUGACUAAGGGAUAACCUGCCGAAAGGCAGACUAAUACCUUAUGGUCUUCACUGACGGCAUCAGAUGUGAAGUAAAGUUUUAUCGGUUAUGGAUGGGGAUGCGUCUGAUUAGCUUGUUGGCGGGGUAACGGCCCACCAAGGCAACGAUCAGUAGGGGUUCUGAGAGGAAGGUCCCCCACAUUGGAACUGAGACACGGUCCAAACUCCUACGGGAGGCAGCAGUGAGGAAUAUUGGUCAAUGGGCGAGAGCCUGAACCAGCCAAGUAGCGUGCAGGAUGACGGCCCUAUGGGUUGUAAACUGCUUUUGUAUGGGGAUAAAGUCAAUCACGUGUGAUUGUUUGCAGGUACCAUACGAAUAAGAACCGGCUAAUUCCGUG